UACGUAGGGACCAAGCGUUGUUCGGAUUUACUGGGCGUAAAGGGCGCGUAGGCGGCGUGGUAAGUCAGUUGUGAAAUCUCCGAGCCUAACUCGGAACGGCCAACUGAUACUGCGGUGCUAGAGUGCAGAAGGGGCAAUCAGAAUUCUUGGUGUAGCGGUGAAAUGCGUAGAUAUCAAGAGGAAUACCUGAGGUGAAGACGGGUUGCUAGGCUGACACUGACGCUGAGGCGCGAAAGCCAGGGGAGCAAACGGG
rnacentral:rRNA from 1 species